AGUUAUUCAUCUUGGUAGGCAAGAGAGUGUUUUGAAAGCACUUAAAAAGAGUUCGACUCUCUUAAUAACUU
rnacentral:tRNA from 1 species